rnacentral:rRNA from 1 species
AUGCCUAAGACAUGCAAGUCGAACGAGACGACCUUUGGAAGACUGAGUACUUGUACGAAGUUUAGAAGAAGAUCAUCGUCUAGUGGCAGACGGGUGAGUAACACGUGGGUAACCUACCUUCAAGCUGGGGAUAACAGUUGGAAACGACUGCUAAUACCGAAUAAGAUAUAUAGCAAUAUAUAUUGAAAGAAGCCUCUAAAGCUUCACUUAAAGAUGGGCCUGCGGCGUAUUAACUAGUUGGUGAGGUAAUGGCUCACCAAGGUAACGAUGCGUAGCCGAACUGAGAGGUUGAACGGCCACACUGGGACUGAGACACGGCCCAGACUCCUACGGGAGACAGCAGUUAGGAAUAUUCGUCAAUGGGGGAAACCCUGAACGAGCAAUGCCGCGUGAGUGAUGAAGGCCCUAUGGGUUGUAAAGCUCUGUUGUAUGGGAAGAACGGCUAUAUUAGGAAAUGAAUAUAGAGUGACGGUACCAUACCAGAAAGCUCCGGCUAACUACGUG